UACGUAGGGUCCGAGCGUUGUCCGGAGUUACUGGGCGUAAAGCGCGCGCAGGCGGCGGUGCUGGCCCGGCGUGAAAGCCCCCGGCUCAACCGGGGAGAGUCGUCGGGGACCGCACCGCUUGAGGGCGGUAGGGGCUGGUGGAAUGCCUGGUGUAGUGGUGAAAUGCGUAGAGAUCAGGCAGAACACCUGGGGCGAAGGCGGCCAGCUGGGCCGUCCCUGACGCUGAGGCGCGAAAGCGUGGGGAGCGAACAGG
rnacentral:rRNA from 1 species